rnacentral:lncRNA from 1 species
AAAAUAACUAUAGCUGACGAAAUAUGCCAUAAUUCGUCAGCUAAACCUUAUAAAAAAAUUUAAAAAUACUAUAGCCGACGAAUAAACCUUUAAAUAUCGUCGGCUAAAGUUGCUGGUUUUUGAAAAAAAAACUGCAGAAACUUUCGGCCACCUCCAAUCACCACCAAAAUUUGACAGAAUCUUCCUCUCAACAUUUCGAACAACUUUCUAGAAGAAGUCGAAGCCCAAUUCUAAGCUCAAUUGAAUCAAAAUAUAAAAAUCCCCAAUUUUAAACCCUAAAAACUUCAAAUCUUCGAUUCUCCUCACACACACCGAAUCGAGCUACCAAAUUCUAGGGGAAUGUAGUACUAAUCAAACUCAACUUAUCCAUAUAUAGAACUCACCAAAUGGUGACAUGAGGAAGGAGAAAUUCGAUCGACAUCGAAUCCGAACCGGCGGAGUUUUGGAGCUCGAUUUAUCUCUCACGGCGGCGCCACUCGAUGCACCACCUAUCCAGCAAUGAAGUAGAGACGACGGCGAAGCUUUUGGGACAAGUGUGGCGGUCUCCGGUGGCUUGACGGUGGAGCUAGGCCGAGAAGAAAAUCUGGCAGGCGAAACAGACUUUUUACCAUCCACCUUCGGUAAAACUCCUAUAUAAAGAACUUUAGCCGACGAAAUUCUUUAUUUUCGUCGGCUAAACUCUUUUGAAAAUUUUG